AACGAUCGCUGGCGGCAGGCUUAACACAUGCAAGUCGAACGCCCCGCAAGGGGAGUGGCAAACGGGUGAGUAACGCGUGGGAAUCUACCUAGUUCUACGGAACAACAGAGGGAAACUUCUGCUAAUACCGUAUACGCCCUAAGGGGGAAAGAUUUAUCGGAAUUAGAUGAGCCCGCGUAAGAUUAGCUAGUUGGUGGGGUAAUGGCCUACCAAGGCGACGAUCUUUAGCUGGUCUGAGAGGAUGAUCAGCCACACUGGGACUGAGACACGGCCCAGACUCCUACGGGAGGCAGCAGUGGGGAAUAUUGGACAAUGAGCGCAAGCCUGAUCCAGCCAUGCCGCGUGAGUGAUGAAGGCCCUAGGGUUGUAAAGCUCUUUCAGUGGGGACGAUAAUGACGGUACCCACAGAAGAAGCCCCGGCUAACUUCGUGCCAGCCGCCGCCGUAACAC
rnacentral:rRNA from 1 species